rnacentral:rRNA from 1 species
CAGAGUGAACGCUGGCGGCAGGCCUAACACAUGCAAGUCGAACGGCAGCACAGAGGAGCUUGCUCCUUGGGUGGCGAGUGGCGGACGGGUGAGGAAAACGUCGGAAUCUGCCUAUUUGUGGGGGAUAACGUAGGGAAACUUACGCCUAAUACCGCAUACGACCUACGGGUGAAAGCGGAGGACCUUCGGGCUUCGCGCAGAUAGAUGAGCCGACGUCGGAUUAGCUAGUUGGCGGGGUAAAGGCCCACCAAGGCGACGAUCGGUAGCGGGUCUGAGAGGAUGAUCCGCCACACUGGGACUGAGACACGGCCCAGACUCCUACGGGAGGCAGCAGUGGGGAAUUUGGACAAUGGGGGCAACCCUGAUCCAGCCAUGCCGCGUGAGUGAAGAAGG